UACGUAGGGUACAAGCAUUAAUCGGAAUUAUUGGGCGUAAAGGGCGCGUAGGCGGAAAGAUAAGUCAGGUGUGAAAUCCCGGGGCUCAACCCCGGAACAGCAUUUGAAACUAUCAUUCUAGAGGGUAGGCGGAGAAAACGGAAUUCCACAAGUAGCGGUGAAAUGCGUAGAUAUGUGGAAGAACACCGGUGGCGAAGGCGGUUUUCUAGCUUACUCCUGACGCUGAGGCGCGAAAGCAAGGGGAUCAAACAGG
rnacentral:rRNA from 1 species